AGCAGUGUAGCAUAGUGGUAAGGAAUAGGGCUCGUGACUAAAAGCUUGCGGGUUCGAUUCCCCGCUGGGG